rnacentral:rRNA from 1 species
UACGAACCGUCCAAACGUUAUUCGGAAUCACUGGGCUUAAAGGGUGCGUAGGCGGCUUGGUAAGUUGGAUGUGAAAUACCUCGGCUCAACCGAGGAAUUGCGUUCAAAACUGUCAAGCUCGAGGGAGACAGAGGUAAGCGGAACUUAGGGUGGAGCGGUGAAAUGCGUUGAUAUCCUAAGGAACACCGGUGGCGAAAGCGGCUUACUGGGUCUCUUCUGACGCUGAGGCACGAAAGCUAGGGUAG